rnacentral:sRNA from 1 species
UUUUACAACUACAGUAGAAACUCUAUAAAUUAAUACUCGAUAAAUUAAUAAACACGAUAAAUUAAUAAAUUUUGCCGGUCCCAAGUCGGGCCAAUGUAAAAAUUAACCAAAAUCGAUAAGAUAAUAAGAUAAUAAUUUUUUUGAAAUCCCUAUGUAAAGUUAUAGUCCCACUAAUAUUAUAAAUUAAUAAUCAUAAAUCUUAAGUAUAUAUUUUAAGACUAAUUUUUAUAUGAAUUUUUUGUUCAAGCUACAAUUACAAUUCUUUUUAAAAUACAACUAGUAUGAUAUCUGUUGUACUCACAUAACUAUUUGCGUAUUUGAUCCGUCAUAGUUGAUUUUGUAAAAU